AUGUCAAGGUACAACUUCAGUCUGCAGCGCGGGUGCCUCGACGAGCAGCUGGCUUCUUUCAAGAAAGUGCUCGCACGCUUAUCAUAUUCUAAUUACGCCACUUCUGCCACCAAGAGUCUCCUGAGCGAAUCCCUGGUCGUCUUUGGCGAGAUCGGCGGCAACGACUACAACUUUUGGUUCUUCGAUCAUACGCACAGCCGGGACACGGCCAAGGAGUACAUACCCGACGUGAUUGCUCGCAUAGGUGCCGGUGUCCAAGAGGUGAUCAACCUCGGUGCCAAGACGGUCCUUGUCCCAGGGAACUUCCCCAUCGGGUGCGUGCCGGUUUACCUGAGUGGUAACAAAAGCUACACGUCCACGGACUACGACCAGUAUGGUUGCCUCAAGUGGUUCAACGCGUUCUCCCAGAUGCACAACCAGUUACUGAAACAAGAGAUCACCAAGCUUAAGUCACAGAACCCCGGCGUGAGGAUCAUCUACGGUGACUACUACGGUGCCUUCAUGGAGUUCGUCAAGAAUCCUAGCAGGAAUGGCAUUGACAAGCCUCUGGUGGCGUGUUGUGGUGGCGAUGGCCCCUACGGCACUGGCCAUCUGUGCGACCAGAACGCGAAGGUUUGCCCCGACCCGUCGAGGUUCGCCAACUGGGACCAAAUCCACAUGACAGAGAAGGCAUACAAUGUCAUCGCCAAUGGGGUGGUCAAUGGCCCGUACGCCGACAUCCCGUUGCUCCAGGCUUGCUAG
rnacentral:rRNA from 1 species